UGAACGCUAGCGGCAGGCCUAACACAUGCAAGUCGAGGGGGAAGUUACUUUCGGGUGACUGAGACCGGCGUACGGGUGCGUAACGCGUAUACAAUCUGCCUUUCACUGGGGGAUAGCCCGAAGAAAUUUGGAUUAAUACCCCAUAGUAUAUAGGGACGGCAUCGUUUUUAUAUUAAAGCUUAGGUGGUGAAAGAUGAGUAUGCGUUCUAUUAGCUAGUUGGAGAGGUAACGGCUCCCCAAGGCGAUGAUAGAUAGGGGUUCUGAGAGGGAUGUCCCCUACACUGGUACUGAGAUACGGACCAGACUCCUACGGGAGGCAGCAGUGAGGAAUAUUGGACAAUGGUCGGAAGACUGAUCCAGCCAUGCCGCGUGCAGGAUGAAGGUCUUAUGGAUUGUAAACUGCUUUUGUAAGGGAAGAAUAAGGGCUACGCGUAGUUUGAUGACGGUACCUUACGAAUAAGCAUCGGCUAACUCCGUG
rnacentral:rRNA from 1 species